rnacentral:rRNA from 1 species
GUAGCGAAAUUCCUUGUCGGGUAAGUUCCGACCUGCACGAAUGGCGUAACGACUUGGGCGCUGUCUCAACCAUGGACCCGGUGAAAUUGUAUUAUUCGUGAAGAUGCGAAUUACCUGCGGAAGGACGGAAAGACCCCGUGAACCUUUACUGCAGCUUGGCAUUGGCUGUUGGUGCGGUGCGUAGAGGAUAGGCAGGAGCCUGCGAACCGGGAACGCCAGUUCCCGGGGAGGCGCCCUUGGAAUACUGCCCUCACCGCAUCGGCAGCCUAACGCGCCGCCCUCAUCGGGGGCGCGGACCGUGCCAGGUGGGUAGUUUGACUGGGGCGGUCGCCUCCUAAACUGUAACGGAGGCGUGCGAAGGUUCGCUCAGGGCGGUUGGCAAUCGCCCGCAGAGCACAAGAGUACAAGCGAGCCUGACUGCGAGACCAACAAGUCGAGCAGAGACGAAAGUCGGUUCUAGUGAUCCGGCGGCCCAGCGUGGAAUGGCCGUCGCUCAACGGAUAAAAGGUACUCCGGGGAUAACAGGCUGAUCUUGCCCAAGAGUCCACAUCGACGGCAAGGUUUGGCACCUCGAUGUCGGCUCAUCGCAUCCUGGGGCUGGAGCAGGUCCCAAGGGUACGGCUGUUCGCCGUUUAAAGCGGUACGCGAGCUGGGUUCAGAACGUCGUGAGACAGUUCGGUCCCUAUCCUCCGUGGGCGCAGGAGAAUCGAUGGAGGCUGCCCCCAGUACGAGAGGACCGGGGUGGACGCACCUCCGGUGAACCGGUUGUCGACCAACGGCACGGCCGGGUAGCCGCGUGCGGCGCGGAUAACCGCUGAAGGCAUCUAAGCGGGAAGCCGUUCCAGGGAUUAGUUCUCCUUCCGGUAAGGGCCCAGGUAGACUACCUGGUCGAUAGACGGCAGGUGCAAGGACGGCGACGUCCUCAGCCGAGCCGCACUAAUCGCCCGAGCUCUUCCGGAA